ACUACAAUUACACUUUUCAUACCCAACAGGACUUGAGAUUUAUACCUGGAGUACAAUGUUCCUGGCAUGUGUGAAAAGUUCACGGACACAUUCUAAUCAUUGCUUCAUAUCCUCCUAGGUUACCCCUGCCCAGCCACAGUCUUGGUGAGCAGUUCUGAGUGAGCUUUCAACUUUAUGCUGCCAAGUUCUUGUCUCAAGCUUAAGCUGCACAUCUUUUGCCUUCUGCCCUGCGGCUUCUCUGAAGUCACAGUGUGGACACCCAGGGAGACACUUUGCAUUCCCAUGCCAACAGAAGAAUUAAUACCAAAGGUAUACAAUGCAGCAAGGAGCACAGAAACAGAUACCAUUCACUAACCUGCAAGGACAGUGGAAGGAAUAAAAAGUCCUGUGCCCUGGAAUGGAGCAGAGGCUUUGUGGACCAGGUGGCAUCCAGGACAGAUCAGUAACACGAGUGAUAUCA
rnacentral:lncRNA from 1 species